rnacentral:rRNA from 1 species
UCGGGAAUUUUGCCCAAUGAGCGAAAGCUUGAGGCAGCAACUCCGCGUGAGGGAUGAAGGCUCUCGGGUCGUAAACCUCUUUUCUCAGGGAAGAUCCAAGACGGUACCUGAGGAAUAAGCCACGGCUAACUACGUGCCAGCAGCCGCGGUAAUACGUAGGUGGCAAGCGUUGUCCGGAUUUACUGGGCGUAAAGAGCGCGCAGGCGGCUGGUCAAGUCCGAUGUGAAAUCUUCCGGCUCAACUGGGAAACUGCAUCGGAAACUGAUCGGCUUGAAGGUGGGAGAGGGUAGUGGAAUUCCCGGUGUAGUGGUGAAAUGCGUAGAUAUCGGGAGGAACACAAGUGGCGAAGGCGACUACCUGGCCCACUCUUGACGCUGAGGCGCGAAAGCUAGGGGAGCAAA